AACGCUAGCGACAGGCUUAACACAUGCAAGUCGAGGGGCAGCACAGGUAGCAAUACCGGGUGGCGACCGGCGCACGGGUGAGUAACGCGUAUGCAACUUACCUAUCAGAGGGGGAUAACCCGGCGAAAGUCGGACUAAUACCGCAUGAAGCAGGGGCCCCGCAUGGGGAUAUUUGCUAAAGAUUCAUCGCUGAUAGAUAGGCAUGCGUUCCAUUAGGCAGUUGGCGGGGUAACGGCCCACCAAGCCGACGAUGGAUAGGGGUUCUGAGAGGAAGGUCCCCCACAUUGGUACUGAGACACGGACCAAACUCCUACGGGAGGCAGCAGUGAGGAAUAUUGGUCAAUGGCCGAGAGGCUGAACCAGCCAAGUCGCGUGAGGGAUGAAGGUUCUAUGGAUCGUAAACCUCUUUUAUAAGGGAAUAAAGUGCGGGACGUGUCCCGUUUUGUAUGUACCUUAUGAAUAAGGAUCGGCUAACUCCGUGCCAGCAGCCGCGGUAAUACGGAGGAUCCGAGCGUUAUCCGGAUUUAUUGGGUUUAAAGGGUGCGUAGGCGGCCUUUUAAGUCAGCGGUGAAAGUCUGUGGCUCAACCAUAGAAUUGCCGUUGAAACUGGGGGGCUUGAGUAUGUUUGAGGCAGGCGGAAUGCGUGGUGUAGCGGUGAAAUGCAUAGAUAUCACGCAGAACCCCGAUUGCGAAGGCAGCCUGCCAAGCCACGACUGACGCUGAUGCACGAAAGCGUGGGGAUCAAACAGGAUUAGAUACCCUGGUAGUCCACGCAGUAAACGAUGAUCACUAGCUGUUUGCGAUACACUGUAAGCGGCACAGCGAAAGCGUUAAGUGAUCCACCUGGGGAGUACGCCGGCAACGGUGAAACUCAAAGGAAUUGACGGGGGCCCGCACAAGCGGAGGAACAUGUGGUUUAAUUCGAUGAUACGCGAGGAACCUUACCCGGGUUUGAACGCAUUCGGACCGAGGUGGAAACACCUUUUCUAGCAAUAGCCGUUUGCGAGGUGCUGCAUGGUUGUCGUCAGCUCGUGCCGUGAGGUGUCGGCUUAAGUGCCAUAACGAGCGCAACCCUUGCCACUAGUUACUAACAGGUAAAGCUGAGGACUCUGGUGGGACUGCCAGCGUAAGCUGCGAGGAAGGCGGGGAUGACGUCAAAUCAGCACGGCCCUUACAUCCGGGGCGACACACGUGUUACAAUGGCGUGGACAAAGGGAAGCCACCUGGCGACAGGGAGCGAAUCCCCAAACCACGUCUCAGUUCGGAUCGGAGUCUGCAACCCGACUCCGUGAAGCUGGAUUCGCUAGUAAUCGCGCAUCAGCCAUGGCGCGGUGAAUACGUUCCCGGGCCUUGUACACACCGCCCGUCAAGCCAUGGGAGCCGGGGGUACCUGAAGUCCGUAACCGCGAGGAUCGGCCUAGGGUAAAACUGGUGACUGGGGC
rnacentral:rRNA from 1 species